GGAGCUUUAGUUUAACUAAAAUGUCUGUAUUGCAAACAGAUGAUGUGGUGUUUCUGCAAGCUCUA
rnacentral:tRNA from 1 species